rnacentral:misc_RNA from 1 species
GAUGAAGAACGUAGCGAAAUGCGAUAAGUAAUGUGAAUUGCAGAAUUCAGUGAAUCAUCGAAUCUUUGAACGCACAUUGCGCUCCCUGGUAUUCCGGGGAGCAUGCCUGUCCGAGCGUCAUUGCUGCCCUCAAGCACGGCUUGUGUGUUGGGCCUCCGUCCUCCUCCCGGGGGACGGGCCCGAAAGGCAGCGGCGGCACCGCGUCCGGUCCUCGAGCGUAUGGGGCUUCGUCACCCGCUCUUGUAGGCCCGGCCGGCGCUUGCCGACACAUCAAUCUUUUUUCCAGGUUGACCUCGGAUCAGGUAGGGAUACCCGCUGAACUUAAGCAUAUCAAUAAGCGGAGGA